rnacentral:tRNA from 1 species
CCCGUGAUGGCCGCCGGACAGGUACGGCGGUUGGGGCUGGGCCCGGGGAGCCGGGUGCUGUGGUUUUCGGCGCCGACGUUCGACGCGUCGGUGUGGGA